GAUGAACGCUGGCGGCGUGCCUAAUACAUGCAAGUCGAGCGGUAAGGCUCCUUCGGGAGUACACGAGCGGCGGACGGGUGAGUAAUACGUAGGAACGUACCCCAAAGUGAGGAAUAACCAGCCGAAAGGUUGGCUAAUACCGCAUAUGCUCUACGGGGUAAAGCAGCAAUGCGCUUUGGGAACGGCCUGCGUCCGAUUAGCUAGUUGGUAAGGUAAAGGCUUACCAAGGCGACGAUCGGUAGCUGUUCUGAGAGGAUGAUCAGCCACACUGGAACUGAGACACGGUCCAGACUCCUACGGGAGGCAGCAGUAGGGAAUUUUCCACAAUGGGCGAAAGCCUGAUGGAGCAACGCCGCGUGCAGGAUGAAGGCCUUAGGGUUGUAAACUGCUUUUAUCUGUGACGAUUAUGACAGUAGCAGAUGAAUAAGGAUCGGCUAACUCCGUGCCAGCCGCCGCAGUAA
rnacentral:rRNA from 1 species